rnacentral:pre_miRNA from 1 species
AUCACCUUGGAAUUUUAUUAAAAUACAGAUUCUGGUUCAGUAGGUCUGGAGUACAGCCUCAGACUCUGCAUUUCUAACAAGCUCCCAGGAGAUGCCAA